rnacentral:rRNA from 1 species
GCAGCCGCCGCGGUAAUACGUAGGUGGCAAGCGUUGUCCGGAAUUAUUGGGCGUAAAGGGCUCGCAGGCGGUUUCUUAAGUCUGAUGUGAAAGCCCCCGGCUCAACCGGGGAGGGUCAUUGGAAACUGGGAAACUUGAGUGCAGAAGAGGAGAGUGGAAUUCCACGUGUAGCGGUGAAAUGCGUAGAGAUGUGGAGGAACACCAGUGGCGAAGGCGACUCUCUGGUCUGUAACUGACGCUGAGGAGCGAAAGCGUGGGGAGCGAACAGGAUUAGAUACCCCGGUAGUCCCUGUCUCUUAUAC